GGGGAUCUACAUGUACCCGGUGUGCAACGAGAGGUGAGAGCUUUGGCACAUCUCGCAUCCGUGGAGAAGGCUGUAGAACACCGGCUGGAGGGCACGCAUUAUCCCACUGUGCAGAUGGGCUUCCACUACUGAAUGUCGGUGAGCCACCAGACGGAUGGCGUAGAGGGACAGCAAUCUCUUCCAAUGCCAGAUCCCAGAGAAGCAGUUGGGUAUCCUAAGUGCAAGCAAAGUGAAAAGGUAUCAUUUGUAGUAGUAUUAAUUCUGUUCAACAAUCAAUUCCAGAAAAGGCAAUAGCACAUCCCAUGUUGAAGAAACGAUCAUAAAAUAUCAAGUUAUACCACAAAUUAAUUAAUUAAUUAAGAAAAAAUAGUUUGAACCCCAAUUUAACCAAGCGACCAAAAAGACAGCCGGAGCAUCAUCCUCUCUUUCUAGCAGCAAGUGCAACACAAACUGCUAAGAGUCCAACAACUAGCAAGAAUAUAAAGUUCUAGAUACAUGUAGCAUUUUAAGCUCUUCUGUCUUCUACUCUUCUCGGUAUGCAGAAGCUCAGAAAGUAAAAGAACAAUUGGUGACUAGAGCUUUUGUCAUGAUUCUGAGAUACUAUAGUAAAAACCACCAUAAAAAUUCGAGAUUAAAAAAAAUCUUAUAUCAACUUCUAGGUACCUGUCCAAUUGACCCAAAGCGAUACAUGACAUUUUCUUCCGUUUCAUCAGAAUUUGGUGGGGACCAAUACGGAUCAAAAGAAACUGCACUAACCUGUAUAAUUGCAAAUUAAUUCGACUCAAAAUGGAGGUUUCAAUUAAAAAUGCUAUGUGAUAAAAGCAAAGACAAUUGUAACGAUAAUGUCACCCAUGAAUUAUGCCCUUCACCCCAUGCAACUAUCUUUCUAUCAUCCAUGCUCCAUACUUGCACAAGAUCAUCUUCACCACCUGAUAACAAAUAUUUGCCAUCCGCACUACAGAACAUCACAACGAACUAAUUAGCACCUUCCAGAAUCUAAUUCACAGAAGUGUAGAGAGAAUAAAACAAGAUUCAAACAUGCAAUGGUUGUAUGCAUAAAUUAGGCAAUCCAUUCGGUGUUGUUAUUAAGUCCUGUUUCCUAAGCAUGUCCUGUUUCCUAAGCAUUCUCCUAGUUACUUGUGCUAGUUAAUUAUAGUCAUUAAAGACCUUGAGCAGCUCAACAGGUGUGUGCGGCUGCCAAGGCUCCUAUCAGAUUAGCUAAGCUCUAAUGAGCUGUUAUGUAAUCAAUGUGACUCAUCUUUCUAUAUAAUCAAGCAAUGAUAGCUGAGGUUAGUAGUCCCGGCAAAACACUCUGUCUACCUCUAACAUUUGGUAUCAGAGCUUAGGUUAGACACCUGAGAGCCUCAAGGCCGACUCCUCUCUUCUCUACUCAUGUCGACCUCUGUUGAGCGCGCUGCCAGGCUCAAGGCCAAGGGAACCAGCGAAGGAGAGCUGGGCGACUUCUCCAGCCGGGCUGCAUGUCUGAAGGCUGCAGAGGAAGCAGCGGUGCUGGCAGUCCAGGCAGCAAAGCAGGCAGCGGCUGCAGCAGAGGCGGCGGCAAGGACGGCGCAGGAGCUGCGGGCUGAAAUCGCCGCCGAGAAGGGAGAAGAUGAGGAGGUCGAGGAAGAGGAAGAGGAGAUGGAGAAGAAUCGGAGGCCGUGGACUCCUCCGCGAGAUCGGAGGCGUUCGCAGUCACCACUGCGGGACCGGAGGCGCUGCCGCGGCGGUGGUCGCUACGAGUCGCCGCAAGGAAGGGUGGUGUACCGCGACUCCGGCAGCGGCACGGCGUGGCCGAUGCUGGACAAGACGAAUUACUACGAGUGGAGCCAGACUAUGAAGCUGAGGAUGCAGGCGCGCGAUCUCUGGGACGCCAUUGAAGGCGGUCCUGUCCAGUUCCGCGAUGACAGACGCGCACUGGAGGUGAUCGUCGGGGCUGUACCCAAGGAGAUGGGUCUCCCACUGCUCGACAAGGCUACGGCGAAGGAGGCGUGGGACGCCAUCGCUGCGACCCGCAUCGGCGUGGACAGAGUCCGUCGAGCAACGCUGCAGCGCCUACGCUGUGAUUGGGAGAACAUCAGUGUCAAUCCUGGUGAGCAAGUGGAUGACUUUGUUGUGCGGUUGUCAACUCUGCACCAGCAGCUUGUCAUCCAUGGUGAUAGGGACAUCACUGAGGAGCGCGUGGUGGAGAAAUUCCUGCGCACGGUGCCAGCCAAGUACUCACAGAUCGUCGUCGCCAUUGAGCAGUUCCUUGAUUUUGAGGCACUGACUCUUGAGGAGGUGACUAGAAGGCUUAAGGCGGUGGACAAUCGCGAAGAACAAGUACUGACCGAGCCGGUGGCCAUCAAUGGCAAGCUAUUGUACACUGAGGAGCAGUGGAAAGCGCGAUGCAGAAAGGAGAAGAAGGGAGACGAUGCAGGUGGCUCUGGUUCCAGGAACCAGCGCGGUGGCGGUGGAUGCAGCCGCGGUGGUGGACGAGGACGAGGCAGAGGAGGUGGACGUGGUGGCGGACGAGGAGACGGCAAUGUUGCUGGCCGUGUCGGCCCCAACACCUGCCUCAACUGCAACCAGGAAGGCCACUGGGCACGUGAGUGUCCGCAACCGCGCCGUGAGGAUGCAGAGCACGGCAGUGGCGGUGGAAACCGUGCUGGUCGCGGCGGUGGCAAUCGUGGUGGAGGUCGCGGCGGUGGCAAUCGUGGUGGAGGUCGCGGCGGCGGAAAUCAGGCUGGACAGCGUGGCGGGAACCAAGGAAGGCAUGAGGCGCGCGUCCAGUACGCCGAAUGUGAAGAAGAUGGUGCUCUGUUUCUGGCACAUGGCUUUAUCAGCCUGGAACAGAGCACGCCGGCGCACAGCUAAACGGCGCAGCACGUCGAGCUCUCUGAGCCACGUGCCUGUGCCUACCUUGGCGUGGAUGAAGAUAUGGACAGCGGUUGGUACCUAGACUCUGGCGCAACACAUCACAUGACCGGACGUCAAGAACUCUUUGCUGAUCUGAACACUGGCGUUCGAGGAACGGUCCGGUUCGGGGAUGCAUCGAAGGUGGAAAUCAAGGGAGUUGGAUCCAUCAUUUUUCAAGCCAAGACUGGUGAGCAGAGAGUUCUUCACGGCGUUUACUACAUUCCAGCGCUGAAGAACUCCAUACUAAGUCUGGGACAGCUUGAUGAAGGAGGGUCCAAGGUUGUUAUUAACCAUGGCGUGCUCCGCAUUUGGGACAAUCAUCACCGAUUGCUGGCCAAGGUACAUCGAGGGAAGAACAGGUUGUACAUUUUGUACCUCGAGGCUGCACAACCUAUCUGUCUCGCGGCGCGCAAGGAUGUUGAGGCAUGGCAGUGGCACGAACGUUUCGGCCAUCUAAACUUCGAUGCACUCCGGCGACUCAGCAAGGAGAAGAUGGCGCGUGGGAUGCCGGUGGUCGAUCAUGUGGACCAGGUAUGUGACACUUGUGUCACCACGAAGCAGAGGCGGCGCUCUUUUCCGGCCGCAGCAGCAUAUCGUGCCCAGAAUCAACUCGAAUUGGUGCACGGUGAUCUGUGCGGCCCAGUCACGCCAGCGACACCGGCGGGCAACCGCUACAUUCUGCUGCUCGUCGAUGAUGCCACCCGUUUUAUGUGGGCUGUGUUGCUGCCAUCCAAGGACGCAGCGGCCGAAGCAAUCAAGAAGAUCAAGGCAGCAGCAGAGGUGGAAAGCGGGCGCAAGUUGAAGGUCCUGCGCACCGACAAUGGCGGGGAAUUCACCGUCGCGGAGUUCGCCGCAUACUGCGCUGAUGAAGGUAUUAAAAGGCAUUUCAGUGCUCCUUAUUCACCGCAACAGAAUGGUGUGGUUGAGCGCAGGAAUCAAACUGUGGUGGCCAUGGCACGAGCUCUGCUCAAGCAACGCCGGAUGCCUUCUCGGUUUUGGGGGGAGGCUGUGAUGACGGCUGUGCACAUUCUGAAUCGAUCUCCAACAAAGGCACUGAAGAAUGUCACUCCGUAUGAGGCAUGGCAUGGCCAGGCACCAACAGUUGGCCAUCUCAAGGUAUUUGGUUGCGUGGCUUAUACCCGGCGGCUUACUCAGCUCCAGAAACUUGAUGAUCGUGGUGAGGCUGGAGUGUUCAUUGGCUAUGCAGAAGGGGCCAAGGCAUAUCGUGUAUUUGAUCCAGUGUCCCAGCGCGUGCGAGUCAGCCGUGAUGUGGUAUUUGAUGAAGGACGUGGCUGGGACUGGGCAUCAGCGGCAGCAGGUACUUUAGAGGCAGCAGGCAGCGAUUUUGUUGUUGAGUUUCCAUGGGCAGAAGAGUUUUCUGAAGCAGAGAGUUCAGUGUUACCCUCACCACCUCUUCAGUCACAUCCUACAUCACCUAGUCUCCCUUUGGUGAGUGCAGGAGAGUCUGCAGCAGAAGCAGAGGAAUCCGCAGUGGAGACAGAGGUGUAUGUGUCGCCUAGAACACCUACACCAGCUCCAGCAAGCCCGCAGAUAGAGCAUGUGACUCCUCUGGAGAAUGAUAGUGAAAGGGUGGAUGCUUAUCAUGAUGGUGAAGAGCUUCGUUAUAGGAAGAUCCAUAAUUUGUCCAGAUCUCUUUGAUCUGGAUUUAUCUCUUCUUCUUAAUAUAUUGAGGCGCAGUUCUCCUGCGUUUUUCCAAAAAAAAUAUUAUUGGUAAUCAGCCAACCCCUUUGCCGGCACAGAGGUUGUUUGCAGAACUGAACCUCACUCAUGCCGGUGAGCCCACAAGCUAUGAAGAGGCCAAAGAUGACCCAGAUUGGCAGGCAGCAAUGAAGGAAGAGCUGAGCUCAGUUGAGCGGAAUGGGACUUGGGAACUUGUUACUCCUAGUCCAGGUCAUCGCCCAAUUUCAUUGAAGUGGGUGUUUAAAUUGAAGAAGGAUGAACAUGGUGCUGUGAUCAGGCACAAGGCAAGACUUGUGGCACGUGGCUUUGUUCAGAAGGAAGGGAUUGACUAUGAAGAUGCCUUUGCACCAGUUGCAAGAAUGGAAUCAGUACGUGUUUUACUUGAUCUAGCAGCACAAGAAGGUUGGGCAGUACAUCACAUGGAUGUGAAGUCUGCAUUUCUGAAUGGAGAACUCAAAGAAGAGGUUUAUGUUACUCAGCCACCAGGCUUUGAAGUAUCAGGAGAAGAGAAGAAAGUGUACAGGUUACACAAGGCAUUGUAUGGCCUAAGACAGGCUCCUCGGGCUUGGAAUGCCAAACUUGAUUUGACUCUCAAGCAAAUGGGUUUUCAGCAGAAUGUAUAUGAGGCUGCCAUGUACAGGAAAGGCUCAGGUGAUUCUUUGCUGGUAAUUGGAGUCUAUGUUGAUGAAUUGAUCAUCACUGGAGUCAAUCAGCAGAAGGUUGAAGUUUUCAAGGCAAAAAUGAAGCAGACAUUCGAAAUGAGUGAUUUGGGUCUGUUGUCUUUCUAUCUUGGGGUUGAGGUAAGACAAUCAGAGGGAAGCAUUACUCUGAAACAGACUCAUUAUGCUAAGAAGAUACUUGAGCUCGGUGGUAUGGCAGACUGUAAUCCAGCCACCACCCCCAUGGAAGAAAGGUUGAAACUGAGCAAGGAAAGUACAGCAAAGGAGGUAAAUCCAACUCAGUAUAGAAGACUAGUUGGUAGCCUGAGAUAUCUAGUGCACACAAGGCCAGAUUUGGCUUUUGUUGUAGGGUAUGUUAGCAGAUUUCUGGAGAAGCCAACAGCUGAACAUCUUCAGGCUGUAAAAAGAAUCUUGAGAUAUGUGGCUGGUACUCUAGAUCAUGGGCUAUGCUAUACUAGAAUGACAGGCAAGGCAAGAUUUGUGGGUUAUAGUGACUCAGACUUGGCUGGAGAUAUUGAUACAAGUAAAAGCACUACUGGAUGUUUGUUUUUCCUUGGAAACAGUCUGGUCAGCUGGCAAUCUAUCAAGCAGAGAGUUGUUGCCUUGUCAAGCUGUGAGGCUGAAUAUGUGGCAAUGACAACAGCUGCAACCCAAGCCUUGUGGUUGUCAAGGCUGUUUGCAGAAUUAUUGGGAAGAGAAGUUGAGGUGGUGGAACCUAGAGUAGACAAUAAAUCUGCUCUAGCUUUGGCAAAGAAUCCUGUUUUCCAUGACAGGAGCAAACAUAUUAGAAUCAAGCAUCACUUCAUCAGGGACUGUGUGGAAGAAGGUAGCAUCAAAACAGAAUUUAUUCCCACUGCAGAUCAGCUUGCUGAUAUACUGACCAAAGCCUUGGGCAAGACCAAGUUGGAAGAUAUGAGAAGCAGAAUUGGGAUCAAGGAGAUCAAGAUCAGUUGAAACAGGCCUUAGGGGGAGAAAUGUUGUUAUUAAGUCCUGUUUCCUAAGCAUGUCUUGUUUCCUAAGCAUUCUCCUAGUUACUUGUGCUAGUUAAUUAUAGUCAUUAAAGACCUUGAGCAGCUCAACAGGUGUGUGCGGCUGCCAAGGCUCCUAUCAGAUUAGCUAAGCUCUAAUGAGCUGUUAUGUAAUCAAUGUGACUCAUCUUUCUAUAUAAUCAAGCAAUGAUAGCUGAGGUUAGUAGUCCCGGCAAAACACUAUGUCUACCUCUAACAUUCGGAAGAUAAGAUGUUAGCAGGAAAGGUUUGAGUAUGGAACUUGUUCAACAAAUAGCCAUAUAACAAAUACUGAGAACCAAGUAGUAGCUUGGUUUGUUAGUACUCCAGUUGAGAUGAUGGCCACUGAGCUCAACCAGAGGAUCACCAACUUGCAGGUACCUCCCUGAGAAAAUGGGAUUCAGUGACUUCAUGGCUAGCAAAGGUUCACCCUACUUGCUGCUAUCCUAUCACAACUCCCACUCAACCGACCUCAUUGCAAGCCCUUCUUUUCCAUUCAUUCCAUCCCACCCCAAAGCCUUUAACUUCAAGGGCACAACUAAAACUGAAUUAAGCACUGUCCCCCUACGGCCCUACCCUAGCAAUGUGCAGGAUGAUUUUGAAAAAACUGGCUGGCCGGGUAUUAUAUGUGGCUAUGUACUUAUGUAGCCCAUCUUUACAAUGAGCUGAGAAUAUUGUUUGUUAAUGCAGUAUAUCAUUGUCAGCUGAGGUAGAAGCCAUGGUGGUGUGUCAUUGUACCAGCUGCUGCAAGCCAAUAUACAAGUACAUCACCAUGUACCACACUUAGAAGUAGUAAUGGAUCAUGAUCCAAAUAUUUCUUCACAAUAAGUUAGGGUCCUUAAUAAAUUUUAGUUCAAAAAUGAAUAGGAAUAGAGCCUGAACCUAAUCCGAGUGGAUCCUUAGAUUUUGUAGUGUAAAAUUUAGAGCUCAUUACCACCCCUAACCACACUUCAAAUUUAUACAUUGUACUAGAUGUGCCUUCAUCCUUUCUCGUUCCUUCAUCUUCGACUCAGUUACUCCGUUAUGUACUUGUUCCCAUCUUGCCAUUUCUACUUUUUCUCCAAGAAUUUCAGAUUUUCUAUUUAGAUGUUUGUAACCAUGAAUUAUUCAACUAACAGAAAAACUUGCAUCUGACAUAUUCUAUAUCGUAAUAUUGCUUCAUCUAAUAUUUAUCGAUUCUGAAUGUUAGGAAGAGGAAAAGCCGAGCAGAUGGACUAAAUAUCUUGCCCCUAGCCUGCUAUAAACUAUCCAUUCUAAAACUCCAUACAUUAUGCUCAUGUAAUUAUGCAAAAAUGGCCAACGGUACUAAUUCGAGUUUUGACAAACAUCUCAAAACUAAGUUUAACAAGGUAAAAUGACAUGAAAAAGAUUGGAAUAGGUUUGCUAUAUAGUGAUUCACAUAUUACUCAUGAGUCAUCAGGACUACACAAGUUAAAAAUAUAUAAAAUCUAAAAACCAGGCAGUAAUACAACCAUAGUUGUUAAGGUGUCCCAUCCCCAAGGCGACGCUUAAGCGUCACCUAGGCGGUAAGCGCGCCGGCGACGUAAGGCGUCCUGCUCGCCUUACGCCUGCACCUAAGGCGAGUGGGAGAGGCCAGUGGUGGCUCCAGCAGCGGCUCCUCCAACAGUGGCGUUGUGGCUCCUCCAGCAUCGGCGCCGCAGCGGCUCCAGAGGCUCCUCCAGCAGCAGCUGGCACAGGAGAGAGGGAGCCAGCUGGAGAGAGAGAAGAAGAGGGAGAGACGCCAGUGGGGAGAGAGGGGGAGGCAGGGUCGCUGGGAGUCGGGAGUGAGGCGGCUAGGUCACUGCCUCGCUGGGAGGGGAGGAGUCAGGAGUGGCGGCUGAGACUGGGAGAAGAUAGAGAGGGAGAGGUCUAGGAGAGAAAAUGGUCUUAACGCUAGUGGGCUUUUGGGCUGAUUUGUAGAUUGGGGGCUAAGUUUUUCUUUUAUCUUUUCCUCGUUUUUAUCCUAAAUACUUUCUCAAAUAUCAAUAUUUUUCUAUUUUUAACUAUAUUUAAGGCAUCGCCUCGCCUUACACCUUAUCGCCUAAAAGGUAAAAGAGGGCCAGUCGCCUUACCUCGCCUUGCCGCCUUAACAACUAUGAAUACAAUUGAUGCAAUACAUCAUUAAGGGAACCAUGCACAGUCCCGUAUAUGUCAGACUUGGACAUGCAAAAAUAUUUCAGUUCUAUGAAACUUAUGCAGAAUAGGUGGCAGACCAUAUCUAGGAAGCAAAACAUGCUAUUGGCAGCUUACCUCCAAGAGCAACACAACAGUGCACCGUAGUAACUUUUCCCACCAAAUAUUAGUUGUUCUUUAGCAAAGUCAAAUACUCUUAAAUGGCCUGCAUAAGAUCAGAUUGUUUUAGUGCAGUAUACAACUUUUCCAACAGCUUACCAUUUUCUGCGUAAAGCUGUCGAUUCUCAUUCUUGGGUAGAGAAAUUUACCAUCACGCCCAACAGUUGCCAAGUAAGCACCAUCCGGUGAAAAGGAAAUGUCAUUGAUUGCACCUUGACAGAUGUGCCACCUUGCAAUUGGAUUGCUCUGCAGUAUAAUUUUAAACCAUAGAAUGAAUCAUAGCAGACGCAACAUUAGGACUCAAUGAUGUUAAAAAAAUCCAAUUAAGGGCAUGCUUAAUUCUCUUGCUCACCCUUGUCUAGCCUUGCCUAGCAAGGUAGAGAAGAAAAACUCAUGAAGCUUUGUUUGGUUUGAAUUUGGGCAAGGUGGGGAUUUCCCUUGCUUUGGAAGGAGUGCUAGAUUGGCUAACCUCGCCUGUGCCUUGCCUAACCUUGCCAAGCAAGGAAAGUGGGCAAGUUUGUUCAAGACAACCAAACAUGCCGUAACUCUCAUAGGUACUUCGCAAAUCUUGUCAUAAAAUCACAGCAAUGAUAAUUGUUUCACACACUUAUAUUAUAUAUUUCCAGUAUGACCUGCUGGAAUGGGUUUAGUACUAUUCGGUAGCUGGUAUUAGCUGAUAAAAAGGUCAGGCCAAGGAUACACAAGUUUAUGCUUUAAUGUCGACUACCAAGAGGCAAGAAUGCAGCCAACGCCAGUGCACACCUUUAAUUUUGUCAGCCUUCAGGUACUUAUGAUAGAUAUUUUGGUAUGUGUCAGCUACAAAGAAAGGGCAAUAGAGUGUUGCAGGAGGUCAAAGCACUUGUCUCCAUAACAAUUUUCCAGAAAAAAAACAUUUUACUAAUACCCUGAAGUAAAUUAUGGAACGUACAUAGCCAUGUCAAUGUAAUUUUUAGUAAAAGAGAUAUCAUGUAGCUUGAGAUACCUUACUCGACUUUGCAUGUGAAAUCAGCACCUGACUUUGAUCCUUUACAGUUGGAAAUGUCCAAUCAGUAUUUCCAUCCUUGCACUGAAUGUAGAAAAGAAAACUUAUCAGCAAAGUAAAUUUAACAAAGUAUGGUUACUUCAUACAAAGUUCCAUGAGCAUUAAGGGCUCACUUUGUCAUACACGUACAGAUUCCCAUCAGCAUGACUAACAACAAAAAUUCCUUCACGCUCUGGAACCCAUGCAACACAAGUGCUCCGACUGCAUAGAUUGGUGUCCAAGCAUCAAUAUAUACUUACAAUUUAAUUACUGUGUAAAGAAAAGCAUUCAUCUACACACAGAAAUAGUAUCUUCUGUUUUAACUUCGGCAUCGUAGUUGCCUUUGAACUAAGAAAAUAAGUUUAAGUAAACUCUACUAAAAAAUGACAAGGGAAAAUCCAUUCAAAUAUCCUAGACAGCAGGCACAGCACAUAAUCAAGAUUAUCAUCCUUCGGUAGUUUAAUCGCCACAACGGUUUCAAUAUAGCAGAUCCCACUAUACAAGUAUGUAUGCAUGCUAACCAAAAUGCUUCCCUUUAGAUCUUACUCAUGACACGGUCUCCCGAAGUAUCCUUUGACCAUUUAUUUAUUAUUUUAUAUUAUAUUGUUCAUACUUAUAAACUUAUGAUAGUUGGAUUGUACAUUUGAUUGCAAAUCUAACGGUGUCAAGUUUGUAUUAUAAUCAAUGUUUUCAGGUUGUCCGACUAAUCAUGAUUAGUUGCUAUUAGUUGGUCUUAUCGGUCCUAUCGAUAAGGCUCCCUAACGUGAUCAGGUCAACUAGAAACCUAGUCAUCUGAUUAGUCGGCGACUAAUCGCGACUAGUCAUCCAAAUAGGGUGGCCGGCUACUAACCUAAUGUGUGAUGUCAUGGGCUCCGAGACCGGACCCUUGAGGAAUUUUAGCCUAGGCCCAUUAGAGUUCAGAUUCAGAUAUACUCUAGUUAGUCUCUUAUCUCAUCCUCUCUCCUCUCUACCCGUGACUCCGAGCGCCUCCUCUCUCCAGCCCGUGCACCACCUAGACCUAGAGACCAUCGGCCGCCGCUUCUUGGACCUAGAGGCAGACUGAUCCGCUGCUGCUUGGACCACUGCCUGGACAGCCACAAAGACUGUCGCCACGGACGACGCUUGGAGAUGAAUUCCUCUUCAGAUGGUAUGGCUCAUUGGCUCUGCUCUGCUCUGCUCUUUGGGUUCUGCCGUGUUGCUCCUAGCUCGAAGUGCUGCUGUAGUGCUACGCGCUGCUGUCAAUUGUCAGGUUGUGCUCUGUUGCUAAGUGGUGCUGUUGUUGAUGAAGCUCUUGGUGCAACUCAGCAUCUAAGAGGGAAGAAUAUGCCAAGGGCUGCUGCUGCUCGUGCUGCCUCUGUGGGUGCUACUGUUAGACAAACAUACACUAGAAGCAUGCAAGGAAUACUAUAGUUGCAGCUCUAGUUAUUGUUGAAGAGGACAAUGAGGAGAUGGAGGAAGAUGAACCAGCAGCACAUGGAGGAGACUUUGAUUAUGAUGAGAUGGAGAAAGAAGCACCUGUUGCAGCUGGGCCAUCUACUGUAGCAGCAGCUGGAGAUGGAAAAGAAGGCUUCCAUUGGAUGAUGAUGUACUUGUUUAGUAGAUGCUUCAAAUCUAAAAUUUAUUAAUAUAAUAUUCUCUUUGUCAUUUAGAUGCAUUUAAACUCUAAUUUGUUGUUGUUCUAGACAUUGAUAUGGUUCGAUUAUGUAAUAUGGAGUUUUAGACCAAUUUACUUGGCUGUUGGCUGCUUGGUCAUAUGGUUUAAUCCUUCUUUACUUGGCGGCUUGGUCAUACGGUUUAAUUACCUGAUUUUGCAUCAUUGCUUGGUUGCUGCGCUGCCACUUCUUACUCAUUUAAUCCUUGUUUCAGAUACAAGAGCUGCAACUCAGCAAGAUUGGAGUGGGACAGCCAAAAUACAAUGAAGCUGUCACUUCACAUCUAACACACUAUGUUCGUCUUCGCUGAUGCAUGCACUACAAGUUGUAAGUCAAGAACUUAGUAUCUUCCAUGCAUAUGGGUUAUCGUUACUUUUGUCAGUAUCUCAGACCGUGUCCAGCAGCUUUUUCAUAUGAUUAUCCAAAACACUGUUUUACAUUGUUUUGCACUGUAGACUGCACUAUUCGCUGAGUAGAGUUUGAAUAUGAAGAUGAGGAUGGAUAAGCUGUUGGAGAUAGUCUCAGCAAAUUCUAACAGAUCGCAGUGUACUGCAUGUCGGCUUGUGUAACUCGUAGGACCACUACCAUAUCAAGAAAUAAAUAUUUAAUACUGGUAAGGUAACGGCAAGACAAAUUUGCCAAGCUUAUUAAGGGGGAAAUUGACAAACACUUUUAGCACAUGUUCGGCUGUGGUAAAAGGCAGCUGUUGCUGCUGCCGUGCUGCGGGCUCCAGCAGCUUCCCGCUCUCUCACAAAAGUACUGUUGCAGCAGCUGCGGCAACAGUUUUUUAUCAUACCCAAACAGCGUGUUAAAUUAAACAGUAAAAAUGAAAACAUG
rnacentral:lncRNA from 1 species